rnacentral:sRNA from 2 species
CCGGACGGAACGCCGAAUCCUGCCGCCGCCCGGAGUUCCCGCACAAAUGACCCGUGUUCGGCAGGAGCGGGGGACCCACCAGGCACGACCGCCUGUCCCGGUUCUCGCGACAGGCCAGGGGUGAAGCCGCGCACCGCACGGCCGGGCGACUCCAGCCCGAACCCGGCAGCUGACCUCGCAGGCGUCGGAGAGGAAUG